GUUGUAUAGUCAAGUAAUUAAGUGCAUGUGGUGGAUGCCUUGGCAGUCAGAGGCGAUGAAAGACGUGAUAGCCUGCGAAAAGCUCCGGGGAGGCGGCAAAUAUCCUUUGAUCCGGAGAUGUCUGAAUGGGGGAACCCACCUACUUUAAGGUAGGUAUUGCAACAUGAAUACAUAGUGUUGCAAGGCGAACGAGGGGAAGUGAAACAUCUCAGUACCCUUAGGAAAAGAAAUCAAUUGAGAUUCCCUCAGUAGCGGCGAGCGAACGGGGAUCAGCCCAUUAAGUUAUGUGUGUUUUAGUGGAACGCUCUGGGAAGUGCGAACGUAGAGGGUGAUAUUCCCGUACACGAAAGGGCACACAUAAUGAUGACGAGUAGGGCGAGGCACGUGAAACCUUGUCUGAAUAUGGGGGGACCAUCCUCCAAGGCUAAAUACUCCUGACUGACCGAUAGUGAACCAGUACCGUGAGGGAAAGGCGAAAAGAACCCCUGUGAGGGGAGUGAAAUAGAUCCUGAAACCGCAUGCAUACAAGCAGUGGGAGCACCUUCGUGGUGUGACUGCGUACCUUUUGUAUAAUGGGUCAGCGACUUAUAUUCAGUAGCAAGGUUAACCGUAUAGGGGAGCCGUAGAGAAAUCGAGUCUUAAUAGGGCGUUUAGUUGCUGGGUAUAGACCCGAAACCAGGCGAUCUAUCCAUGAGCAGGUUGAAGGUUGGGUAACACUAACUGGAGGACCGAACCCACUGUCGUUGAAAAGCCAGGGGAUGACUUGUGGAUAGGGGUGAAAGGCUAAUCAAGCCUGGUGAUAGCUGGUUCUCCCCGAAAGCUAUUUAGGUAGCGCCUCGGACGAAUACCAUAGGGGGUAGAGCACUGUUUCGGCUAGGGGGUCAUCCCGACUUACCAAACCGAUGCAAACUCCGAAUACCUAUGAGUACUAUCCGGGAGACAGACUGCGGGUGCUAACGUCCGUAGUCAAGAGGAAAACAAUCCAGACCGCCAGCUAAGGCCCCAAAAUCAUAGUUAAGUGGGAAACGAUGUGGGAAGGCAUAGACAGCUAGGAGGUUGGCUUAGAAGCAGCCACCCUUUAAAGAAAGCGUAAUAGCUCACUAGUCGAGUCGGCCUGCGCGGAAGAUGUAACGGGGCUAAAACUAUGUGCCGAAGCUGCGGAUUUGACAUUAGUCAAGUGGUAGGGGAGCGUUCUGUAAGCCGAUGAAGGUGUAUUGAGAAGUAUGCUGGAGGUAUCAGAAGUGCGAAUGCUGACGUGAGUAACGACAAAACGGGUGAAAAACCCGUUCGCCGAAAGACCAAGGGUUCCAGUCCAACGUUAAUCGGGGCUGGGUGAGUCGACCCCUAAGGCG
rnacentral:rRNA from 1 species